GUAGAACGCUGAAGAGAGGAGCUUGCUCUUCUUGGAUGAGUUGCGAACGGGUGAGUAACGCGUAGGUAACCUGCCUUGUAGCGGGGGAUAACUAUUGGAAACGAUAGCUAAUACCGCAUAACAAUGGAUGACACAUGUCAUUUAUUUGAAAGGGGCAAUUGCUCCACUACAAGAUGGACCUGCGUUGUAUUAGCUAGUAGGUGAGGUAAUGGCUCACCUAGGCGACGAUACAUAGCCGACCUGAGAGGGUGAUCGGCCACACUGGGACUGAGACACGGCCCAGACUCCUACGGGAGGCAGCAGUAGGGAAUCUUCGGCAAUGGGGGCAACCCUGACCGAGCAACGCCGCGUGAGUGAAGAAGGUUUUCGGAUCGUAAAGCUCUGUUGUAAGUCAAGAACGGGUGUGAGAGUGGAAAGUUCACACUGUGACGGUAGCUUACCAGAAAGGGACGGCUAACUACGUGCCAGCAGCCGCGGUAAUACGUAGGUCCCGAGCGUUGUCCGGAUUUAUUGGGCGUAAAGCGAGCGCAGGCGGUUUGAUAAGUCUGAAGUUAAAGGCUGUGGCUCAACCAUAGUUCGCUUUGGAAACUGUCAAACUUGAGUGCAGAAGGGGAGAGUGGAAUUCCAUGUGUAGCGGUGAAAUGCGUAGAUAUAUGGAGGAACACCGGUGGCGAAAGCGGCUCUCUGGUCUGUAACUGACGCUGAGGCUCGAAAGCGUGGGGAGCGAACAGGAUUAGAUACCCUGGUAGUCCACGCCGUAAACGAUGAGUGCUAGGUGUUGGAUCCUUUCCGGGAUUCAGUGCCGCAGCUAACGCAUUAAGCACUCCGCCUGGGGAGUACGACCGCAAGGUUGAAACUCAAAGGAAUUGACGGGGGCCCGCACAAGCGGUGGAGCAUGUGGUUUAAUUCGAAGCAACGCGAAGAACCUUACCAGGUCUUGACAUCCCGAUGCUAUUUCUAGAGAUAGAAAGUUACUUCGGUACAUCGGUGACAGGUGGUGCAUGGUUGUCGUCAGCUCGUGUCGUGAGAUGUUGGGUUAAGUCCCGCAACGAGCGCAACCCCUAUUGUUAGUUGCCAUCAUUCAGUUGGGCACUCUAGCGAGACUGCCGGUAAUAAACCGGAGGAAGGUGGGGAUGACGUCAAAUCAUCAUGCCCCUUAUGACCUGGGCUACACACGUGCUACAAUGGUUGGUACAACGAGUUGCGAGUCGGUGACGGCGAGCUAAUCUCUUAAAGCCAAUCUCAGUUCGGAUUGUAGGCUGCAACUCGCCUACAUGAAGUCGGAAUCGCUAGUAAUCGCGGAUCAGCACGCCGCGGUGAAUACGUUCCCGGGCCUUGUACACACCGCCCGUCACACCACGAGAGUUUGUAACACCCGAAGUCGGUGAGGUAACC
rnacentral:rRNA from 1 species